UAAGGGGAGGGAGAGAUGACUGGACUCGAAGACCUAACCCAACUGUGGAGAGCCGCUUGCCGAAGGGAAGACUGGCUGAGAAACCUUCCCUGAUGCCUCUGGCUGGCCUCUGAGAAAGGACUCCGCAUGGCUCCACCCCAUCCAAAGCUGCAGUGCAGCAAGAGUGGAAGUCUGUGCAAGUUCAGCGGACGCCAUGCCCGGUCUGUGGGCUAUAUGUGUUUUCUCAUUCCAUGUCUGUCGGUGGGGCCUUCUGUGAAUAAUGGAAUAUCCAACAGCCACAAAAAAUAAUGAGAAUGCUUUGGCUAUACUGAGGUAAGAUCAUCUCAAAGAUACAUUGUUGAGUUAAAGAAGCAAGUGUGUUCCCAUCUGCAUUGAAAGAAAAGGACAAUACAUAUAGUGUGUUUGUCUUCAAGUCUUAGUGGAUACACAAGAU